rnacentral:rRNA from 1 species
UACGUAGGGUGCAAGCGUUAAUCGGAAUUACUGGGCGUAAAGCGGGCGCAGGCGGUUUUGUAAGACAGGCGUGAAAUCCCCGGGCUUAACCUGGGAAUGGCGCUUGUGACUGCAAAGCUGGAGUGCGGCAGAGGGGGAUGGAAUUCCGCGUGUAGCAGUGAAAUGCGUAGAUAUGCGGAGGAACACCGAUGGCGAAGGCAAUCCCCUGGGCCUGCCCUGACGCUCAUGCACGAAAGAGUGGGGAGCAAACAGG